GAUCUCGAAGGCGGCGCUGGUGCUGGCAACAUGGGCGCGCGCUCGUGCAAGGUCACAGCGUGGCGCACGCGGGCCUCGCGUGCUGUGCGGCCAUGGCCACCGGUGCCUUGGCGUGCGCGCUCGGGUGUGGCGCAGUGAACCCCGUCUCCGGGGACCUCACCAAGCCCGUCGUCACCUCCAACUCGAUCUCUUCUCUCGUGUGCCACCGUGCGGAUGUAUCAGGUGCACCUCCUCCAACUCCCCCAGUUCCUGCUCUGGCUCAUCCCCUCCAUGUUCCCCUUCCCCUUCUCAUCCCCUCGUUCUUGCUAGGGUUCGCGUCAGAGGCGUCGGUAGCUACUCCCAUGCCGGUCUCGAGUCAAACAGCGGUGUCUCGCCCAGGUGCAUCUCUCCUCCCCCUUUGCCUCUUCCUCCUUCUCUCAUUCUGGAUCUAGAGAGAUUCGUAGUGUUAGGUAUGGACUGAUUUUGGAUUAGAGCUGCUCAUUCACAUCCGGCCACAAGAGGCAAGCAGCGUUUGCAACCUGACCUUUCUCCCCUUGGACAAGUCUAUAAUUUCCUUGAUUCAUUUUUUCAGAUCACUGGUACUUCUUUUUAAUCAAUCUGGUUUGGUUUACAUCAUCAAUUUUGUUCAUCUUAUGUCUGAGAAUGCACCAUAGUUUUGUUUUGAACUUUGACAUCAGUGUAUUAGCACAACCUAUCAUUAUAAUCUGAACAUUCAUAUGGCUUGUUUGUGCGAGUAAAAUGAAAGAUGAGGCAGGUGACACCUUAGCUUCCUGCCUUAUUGUGAUCUAAUUUCUUCUUGUGUGCCUGCCUCUGCAGCUGGUGUUUUGUGCUUUCUAUGCUCAGCUUGUCCUUCAUUCUUUCUUUGUUCGCUGCCUCAGCUCUGGGUUCUCUGCUGUUUUAUUAAUUUGUGAUUCCGUCGUCGACAAUUCAGAGCAGCAGCAGUGCUGCCCUAAUGUGAUUUCUGACCUGUGAGUGAAUAAGUGCCUCUCUUCUUUCAGGUAGCACCAAGCCUGGCUCCCAUUGAAGAUACAACAUUGGUGGCCAUUGCAGACCCAGGCUCCAGGAGCAAAGAGUAUAUUCGUGAUGCAAGCAACAUGUUCGACCGAAUGCUAGAAAGGUGUGGCAGGGGCAUUUGGUGGUUUAGACCCAUGGUCAGGUCAAGUCCAUCUCAAUUCUCUUACCUGAUUGUUACUGUUUAAGAAUGAUACUAUGUUAAUAGAGUGAAAUCUUAAAUAUGCAAGUUGUAGUACUACUGUUCACCUGCUGGCCUAUAUUGCUAUAUGCAGAAUGAGCUACUAAUGUCAUAUUGAUUACAUUAUGCUAUUCUAUGAUAUUUUUAUUGUGUUUGAUAACAAAUAAUAGGUCAUCCAAGCUCCUGAAGGAUUUGCAUUGAGAAAUUGAAACUGCUAUGAGUGAUUUUGGUUCUUGUAUAAUCUUUUUCGUUUAGUGCCUACUUCCUAGUGUUUAUGUCAAUGUUACCGUAAUGCUUUUCUAUUAAUUAAGAUUGGUUCUUGGUUGAGAAAAGUAAUGCAUCAGUUGCACUCACCAUGUGUGCUAUAUCAUGUGCAGGUAUGCAAUUAAAAGCUGAGAAGGAUGCAAAAUUUGAGCUCGUGCUUGAAACAUGGGUUCGCUUGAAGCUACUUUUUGGCAGUAUUGCCAGAUUUUGUGCUAGAUUAACUAGACUUAAACUUAUUUUUUGCUGGAUCAAAAAACUUUGAUGUUGUAUGUAUGUGAUGAGAUGUUGGAUCAGAAUUUAUCUAUAUAUAUGAGCUGGUUUAUAUCA